rnacentral:rRNA from 1 species
UACGUAGGGGGCAAGCGUUAUCCGGAUUUACUGGGUGUAAAGGGAGCGUAGACGGCGAUGCAAGUCUGAAGUGAAAGGCGGGGGCCCAACCCCCGGACUGCUUUGGAAACUGUAUGGCUGGAGUGCAGGAGAGGUAAGUGGAAUUCCUAGUGUAGCGGUGAAAUGCGUAGAUAUUAGGAGGAACACCAGUGGCGAAGGCGGCUUACUGGACUGUAACUGACGUUGAGGCUCGAAAGCGUGGGAAGCAAACAGG